CAAUGAACAGGAUAGUAACCAGAUUCUAAACAACAGUUUAGAAUGUGAGUUAUAUAUUUAUCAAUAAAUGGACUGCAAAACUUUAGCAUCUUGGCAUUUAUUCCAUCAAAACCUGUAGCGUUUGACUGAAGGUCAAAAAUUAUAUCAUGGAUUUCAUUUACGGUAAUAAUUAAGUGUUUGAUCAUGGGGAGGAUUUGAAUUAAAAACAGAUAAGAAAUAAUCAUUGAUUUUGUUAACAUCGUUUAAAUGUGAAGGAAUAUGGGUGUUCUCACGAGAUCUCAAACCAAAUUUAUUUAAUGUUUUCCAUAACAUUUUAUUAUUAUUGUUAAUUUUGUUUAGAAAGGCUGCUUUUUCUUUUUUAAUUGCAGAGACACAAAAAUUUCGAAGUUGGCGAUAUGCUUCCCAAUCAGCAUCGAGUUUAGUUAGUUUAAAUUUGGUUAAAGAUACAUCUCUUUUUUUCAUAAGUUUCUUAAUAUUUUCUGUUAACCAGGGUGAGAAUUUUUUUGUAAGUUUUUUAGUAACCAGAGGAGCAUGUUUGUCAAACAAUUUUAUAACAUUGUAAUUAAAAAGGUAUAACUUGGAGUCAAUAUCAUUUAUAUAAAAAAUAUCAUCCCAGUUUAAAUUUUGUAAAUCUUGGAGGAAGCAGGAUUUUAAAAAAUAUUUGUAAUCUCUGUAGGUAACAUAAGUUAAGGAGUUUAAAGUGACUUUUACUUUUAAGGUACAGUGUAUGAUGCAGUGAUCGGAAAAAAUGUCUGCAUUUAAAGUUCCAGAAGCAAUAAUCUUAUCUGGAAAAUUGGUAUAAAUGACAUCUAGAAUUUUUUGACUAGUUUUGGAGAUACGUGUCGGUUCACUAAUAAUUUGAGUAAAAUCGUAAGACCCAAAAAUAUCUAUUACAUUGUUUUCGAAAGUAUGGUCAAUAUUUAAGUCACCUAAGAAAAUUAAUUUUUCAUAUUUUAGAAGUAAAGUAGGUAAUAACUCUUCUAGAAACUCCGUGAGAACACCAAUAUUAGUUGAGGGGCUGCGAUAGAUAACCCCCAAAAGAAAAUGACAAAAUGUGGUUUUAAUUUCUACUAAUAAACAUUCAAUUUCUGUAGGACUUUUUAUAUUUUCAACUAUUUUAGAUGAAAUAUUUUCUCUAAUAUAUGCAGCUACACCACCACCCCGUCUAGCGACACGGUCCUGUCUUAAUAAUUUGAAACCCGGUACGUCAACCGCUUGCGACGGCAACUGACUUGUCAACCAAGUUUCUGACACACCCAUUAUAUCAAAAUCAUUCUCUAGAAUACUAUCUCUAAAAGCAUCAAAGCCAGUAAAUAAAGAUCUAGCAUUCACAUGAGCAAUUUUAAAGUUGUGAUCCAUAAAAGAGAAUAAAAUAAGAGGAGAAGAAAAAAUAAAAUUAUAAAUUUUAAUAUUAGUUAACAAUAAUUAGUCUUUUGCUUUACAAGAUUCAAUUUGUGUUGAUACGUAUGACAAGAUAAAUCAUUUGCUGUGUGAUCAGUAGUUAAUUGCAAUUUAAACCGAGAAUUUGAGAAUGUACAAUUUGGACAACAUAAUCUUUCUGUUUCACAAUCUUUCAUUUCGUGGGAUCCGCUACAUUUGGGACAGAUAGCUACUUGUGAAGUACAUUUGUUCUUGGUAUGACCGUAUUUGCAACAUUUGUAGCAUUUUAUUAAGUUGAAACAUUCAGCUAUAUUAGAUUUAUGCCAACCGAUAUAUAGCGAACCCUUUUCGAUAAUAUUUUUAAAGAGAAACGGUGUAACUUCAAUAAUAAUGUUAUAAUCUUUUUUGUUUUUGAUUUUGGCAACUACUUUAAUAUCCUCAAUGGAAGCAUUAAGAUAAUUUCUAGAGAUAAUAUCUUCCACAAGCCCAGGUUGAGUUGCAUCUUCAGCAGGAACAUUAUAAAUUUUUAGACGAGGGUUAAAUUUACCAGGUACUGAAGCUGUGUAGGAUGAGUUGCCUUUCGAAGAAACUAAGUCCUUUAAUUUGCUCAAGGACUCUUUGUUUUCACAAUUUAUUAAUAAACCACUUUUUAUAUGCUUUGUA